UGGGGAAUUUUGGACAAUGGGCGAAAGCCUGAUCCAGCAAUGCCGCGUGUGUGAAGAAGGCCUUCGGGUUGUAAAGCACUUUUGUCCGGAAAGAAAUCCUUGGCUCUAAUACAGUCGGGGGAUGACGGUACCGGAAGAAUAAGCACCGGCUAACUACGUGCCAGCAGCCGCGGUAAUACGUAGGGUGCAAGCGUUAAUCGGAAUUACUGGGCGUAAAGCGUGCGCAGGCGGUUUGCUAAGACCGAUGUGAAAUCCCCGGGCUCAACCUGGGAACUGCAUUGGUGACUGGCAGGCUAGAGUAUGGCAGAGGGGGGUAGAAUUCCACGUGUAGCAGUGAAAUGCGUAGAGAUGUGGAGGAAUACCGAUGGCGAAGGANCCCCCUGGGCCAAUACUGACGCUCAUGCACGAAAGCGUGGGGAGCAAACAGGAUUAGAUACCCUGGUAGUCCACGCCCUAAAACGAUGUCAACUAGUUGUUGGGGAUUCAUUUCCUUAGUAACGUAGCUAACGCGUGAAGUUGACCGCCUGGGGGAGUACGGUCGCAAA
rnacentral:rRNA from 1 species